rnacentral:rRNA from 1 species
UACGUAGGGCGCAAGCGUUAUCCGGAAUUAUUGGGCGUAAAGAGCUCGUAGGCGGUUUGUCGCGUCUGCCGUGAAAGUCCGGGGCUCAACUCCGGAUCUGCGGUGGGUACGGGCAGACUAGAGUGAUGUAGGGGAGACUGGAAUUCCUGGUGUAGCGGUGAAAUGCGCAGAUAUCAGGAGGAACACCGGAGUGGCAAGGCGGCACCUGGGCCUGAUUGAACGUGACGUGAGGACGAAAGCUGGG